UACGAAGGGGGCUAGCGUUGCUCGGAAUCACUGGGCGUAAAGGGUGCGUAGGCGGUCGGGUAAGUCUGAUGUGAAAUCUCACAGCUUAACUGUGAAACUGCAUUGGAUACUAUCCGGCUAGAGGAAUGGAGGGGAGACUGGAAUACUUGGUGUAGCAGUGAAAUGCGUAGAGACCCGGAGGAACACCAGUGGCGAAGGCGGCGUCCUGGCCUGCGACUGACGCUGUGGCGCGAAAGCUAGGGGAGCGAACGGG
rnacentral:rRNA from 1 species